GACGAACGCUGGCGGCGCGCCUAACACAUGCAAGUCGAACGAGCGAGAGAGAGCUUGCUUUCUCAAGCGAGUGGCGAACGGGUGAGUAACGCGUGAGGAACCUGCCUCAAAGAGGGGGACAACAGUUGGAAACGACUGCUAAUACCGCAUAAGUCCACAGCUCGGCAUCGAGCAGAGGGAAAAGGAGUGAUCCGCUUUGAGAUGGCCUCGCGUCCGAUUAGCUAGUUGGUGAGGUAACGGCUCACCAAGGCGACGAUCAGUAGCCGGUCUGAGAGGAUGAACGGCCACAUUGGGACUGAGAUACGGCCCAG
rnacentral:rRNA from 1 species